GAAAUUGAUUUUUAGGCUUUGGGAAACUUAUUUCUUAAAUACAUUGUUGUCACAGCUGACUUUCAUUUUUAAUUACCCUGAGAGUUUUGAAGUCAUCAUAUAAGACAAAAGCACUUCUGGGAGCUGACUGCAGUAGACCCACAUUCUGAACAUACACAGAUUUCAUGGCCCUCCAGAAUCCAUUAUUAUGCUAACGCUGGUCCUUUGAAUUCUCAACUAACUCACAGAAGAUGAAUUUCCUUCCUGAAGUAAAAGACUCAUCACAGACUCACAAGCAGAACCAGACCUUGGGGAAGUAGUCAGGACUGAAUUUAAAUCAUCUUAACUGAACCUGGAGAUUGGACUGCCAUCGACUCCUGCUGACUCAUGGAGGAAGGAAGGAGACAGCCAGAAGAGAGUUGCAGGACCUUCAUCUUUUGCACUUAAAUUUUGGGGUUCCCAGCAGUCCUAGAUCUCAACAAUCUGAAGACCUCAUCAUGAGUUUGACCACAGGGUGCUGGAUUAUUUUGCUGUAUCAAUUUCCAAAGAACACCCAAACAGCACAUGGCAUUUACUGAUACACACUUCCCUCAAAUGAGAUCUGCCUUCUAACAG